rnacentral:rRNA from 1 species
CCUACGGGAGGCAGCAGUGGGGAAUAUUGGACAAUGGGCGAAAGCCUGAUCCAGCAAUGCCGCGUGAGUGAUGAAGGCCUUAGGGUUGUAAAGCUCUUUUACCAGGGAUGAUAAUGACAGUACCUGGAGAAUAAGCUCCGGCUAACUCCGUGCCAGCAGCCGCGGUAAUACGGAGGGAGCUAGCGUUAUUCGGAAUUACUGGGCGUAAAGCGUACGUAGGCGGUUAUUCAAGUCAGAGGUGAAAGCCCGGGGCUCAACCCCGGAACUGCCUUUGAAACUAGAUAACUAGAGUCUUGGAGAGGUUAGUGGAAUUCCGAGUGUAGAGGUGAAAUUCGUAGAUAUUCGGAAGAACACCAGUGGCGAAGGCGACUAACUGGACAAGUACUGACGCUGAGGUACGAAAGCGUGGGGAGCAAACAGGAUUAGAUACCCUGGUAGUCCACGCCGUAAACGAUGAUAACUAGCUGUCCGGGCACUUGGUGCCUGGGUGGCGCAGCUAACGCAUUAAGUUAUCCGCCUGGGGAGUACGGUCGCAAGAUUAAAACNCAAAGAUUGACG